rnacentral:rRNA from 1 species
UACCACCCUUUAAUGUUUGAUGUUCUAACGUGGACCCGUUACCCGGGUUGCGGACAGUGUCUGGUGGGUAGUUUGACUGGGGCGGUCUCCUCCUAAAGAGUAACGGAGGAGCACGAAGGUUGGCUAAUCCUGGUCGGACAUCAGGAGGUUAGUGCAAUGGCAUAAGCCAGCUUGACUGCGAGCGUGACGGCGCGAGCAGGUGCGAAAGCAGGUCAUAGUGAUCCGGUGGUUCUGAAUGGAAGGGCCAUCGCUCAACGGAUAAAAGGUACUCCGGGGAUAACAGGCUGAUACCGCCCAAGAGUUCAUAUCGACGGCGGUGUUUGGCACCUCGAUGUCGGCUCAUCACAUCCUGGGGCUGAAGUAGGUCCCAAGGGUAUGGCUGUUCGCCAUUUAAAGUGGUACGCGAGCUGGGUUUAGAACGUCGUGAGACAGUUCGGUCCCUAUCUGCCGUGGGCGCUGGAGAACUGAGGGGGGCUGCUCCUAGUACGAGAGGACCGGAGUGGACGCAUCACUGGUGUUCGGGUUGUCAUGCCAAUGGCACUGCCCGGUAGCUAAAUGCGGAAGAGAUAAGUGCUGAAAGCAUCUAAGCACGAAACUUGCCCCGAGAUGAGUUCUCCCUGAGACUUAGAGUCUCCUGAAGGAACGUUGAAGACGACGACGUUGAUAGGCCGGGUGUGUAAGCGCAGCGAUGCGUUGAGCUAACCGGUACUAAUGAACCGUGAGGCUUAACCUUACA